rnacentral:lncRNA from 1 species
GGAAGUCCAGACUCCCCAGCAGCCUCCAUUGGUACCACCAUGGCAGGGAGCGGGGAGCUAUUCAUUACCAGCAGAUGAGGGUUAGAAGUUCAUGCUCCCUGGAUAGUCUCCACUAAACUGAAGGAAGGCAUUCAAGGAAGGGCAGCUCAUCGCCACAGGGCGGAGGUAGAAAUCCAGGCUGCCUACUUGACUUCCUGGGAGACCACCUCAGCAUGGAUGGAAAAGAGCACCUCAUCACCUCCAGGUAUUAUGGGAGAUAGGCUGGGACAGAGAAGGAAAGCCAGGAAGAAGAGACAGCAUGAGCAAAAGCAUGAAGAUCAGAAUUCAAAGAGGAUGCUGCUAAGGUAAGAAGGAUCAUCUGUCUGUAGCACAGCGUUCGUGCCAGGGUUGGUAUACAGAGGCCUGGAAGAUGUUAAGAGACUAUGAUACUUCAUCCUUUGGCACUAGGGAAUCACUGAAGGUUCUAGAGUAGGAGAGUGAUUUAUGCAGAGUGCACUUAGGAAGAUCUGCAGUGGGCUUGUGCAGCAUGAGACCAGGAGAACUUAGUGUAAGAGGUACUCAUUUGGAAAUGGUCCCUGGGAUAGGUAAGGCAGAUACCUAUCCCAGAUACAGACUUGAGGGUGGCCCAUGGGAAUGUGAAAUAAAGGCCCACUAUAGAUACCAACAAAAAUAAGAUGUCCACAAUUCCUUUCUAUGUGCCUCUAAAAUUAUCUGUAACUUCCUACUUAUCUUUCUACCAGUGACAAUAAGACAACAGAAAGACCAGGUUGAAACCCUUCAUUUUUCUCUCACUGAUCCUAUACUUUCAAACAACUUUCCUUUGAUUUUGCUUUCCCUUAGUGUAAUUUUUCAAAUUUUUAUGUUUUACCAUAUUUGAAAAGAGGCCUUGUUUUAAACAAUCCCAUUUUAAUAAGAUAUCUUCCUAAAGGAGACUUUAGGAAGGCUGUUUAUUAAGUUGAUAUUAUCAACCAAAUGUGCAGUUCUCUAAACAAAGAUGAUGAUUAAUGCAAAAGCAACUACAGGCAAUUGAGGUUGGUUUGCUGCCUGGGGCUUUAUUCU